UUAUUCUUUCCCAUUAUUAGUUUCAUUUCCUUCCUUUCCCAUUUACCCUCUUAAUUCAACAAACAUUACUAUAUCAAUUUAUUUUUUCCAAUUUAAAUCUUUACUUCUCUUCUACUAUUCUAUUUCUCCUAUAUAUAUAUAUAAUAGCGUCAAUUAUCAACGUAAAAUUUCAACCAGUCGAAUGUCUCCGUUAUUCUGAUGGACAACGAGUUCUCCUAAAAAAUUUCAGGAGUCUGAAAGCCUCAUCGCCAAACGAAUUCUUCCUCUAAAGUUUAAAACCCACCAUGAGGAGCUCGAUGACGCAAGAAUUGUCACUACUCUCUACACAUCUAUGUGCGUCCGGGCCGCCUACUAUUUUGGAAAAGAAAACCCUAACCCCAUACUGAGACAGGAAAGAAAUCUAUACUUUUCAACUCGGUGGUUGUCACAUUGUGGAAUAUUUGGAUUGAAAGAAAUAUAAUAGAAUCUUCAAGGGGCUGGAAAAAUAUCUCACUGAGAUUUUGGAAGAUAUCAAAGCUCUUCCAGGCCAUUAGACAAUCACAUCUUUUUAAAGAUUGUUCAGUAGCUCUAUUGUUCUUAAUAUUUAUGAUUUUGUUUAAUUGUAUAGACGUGUGGGUUUUUGUUGGGGUUUCCUCUAUCCCUUGUUUUUGUUUACUUCUUGCUUCCUAUACUAUCUUGGUUUAUAUUAUAAAUGUGGAAGAUGAUGGUGCUAUGAAUAUGUUCAUCUAAUUGGAAAUGUCCUAUUGUACCUGUCGAUCCAUCUCAAAUUUUGAAAAAAAAAAGAGAGAAUCAUUAAUAUUCUCACAAUCAU